CCUGGUUGAUCCUGCCAGUAGUCAUAUGCUUGUCUCAAAGAUUAAGCCAUGCAUGUCUAAGUACAAGCCGAUUUAAGGCGAAACGCGAAUGGCUCAUUAAAUCAGCUAUGAUUCAUUGGAUCUGUACCCACACUUACUUGGAUAACUGUGGUAAUUCUAGAGCUAAUACAUGCACCACGUCUCUGACCGCAAGGGAAGAGCGCUUUUAUUAGUUCAAAACCGGUCGGGCCUCGGUCCGUCACCCCACCGUGUUGAAUCUGAAUAACUUGUCGCUGAGCGCACGGUCUCCGCACCGGCGCCGCCUCUUUCAAGUGUCUGCCUUAUCAGCUUUCGAUUGUAGGUUAUGCGCCUACAAUGGCUAUAACGGGUAACGGGGAAUCAGGGUUCGAUUCCGGAGGGAGCCUGAGAAACGGCUACCACAUCUAAGGAAGGCAGCAGGCACGCAAAUUACCCACUCCCGGCACGGGGAGGUAGUGACGAAAAAUAACGAUGCGAGACUCAUCCGAGGCCUCGCAAUCGGAAUGAGUAACACUUUAAAUCCUUUAACGAGGGCAUCUAUUGGAGGGCAAGUACUGGUUGCAGCAGCCGCACCUGAACCAGAAGGCAUAGAUACUUCAUUAUGCAGAAUAAAUUUAAUGACGGCAAACUCUAGGGUCGGGACAUCGAGACCCAUUCCCCAUUUCACCACCACACACACACACCACACACACCACACAACCACACACACACACACACACACACACACAUACAUAUAAAUUAAAACACAACGUCAAAUUCUUCGUCACAAACUCUUGCUCAAAACCACUACUCCAUAGAAAAAUAAACACUAACACAACCUCUACGAAAGGCCUUAUCUUAUUUGCGUGUUGUGUGGUCUGAGAGCCCCGAACUAUUUCCAAAUGCCCAAAAAUGAGUUAGUCGGGUGUGUAAUGAGUGAUAUUUAGGUCCACAGCUACAGCCACCACAAGAACGGUAUCAACUACCACCAAGCAUUUAAACUACCCCCUGGAAAUGCCCAAAACGCCUAGAACGGCCCUUGUCAAUAUUUUGUGUACUGGGCGCUGAACGGGUUUUCGAAGGAAUGGCCUGGGUCUCGUCCUCUCAAAUAUAAGAAGAAGAGUAUUUGCCGCCUCGCCGACCACCCCUAAGGAUUUGCACUGCUAAAAUCUGUUAAAGAAGAUAAAUAAUAUAGGCAGUGUGUGCGAGGCAGGGUACUAGGACGCAGGGUAGUGGACGCCUUCGACGGCCCCCGAGUGACGCCGGAGACAGACAGAGGACAGAAUAGAUAGACAGGCAGACAGAAAGAAAGAAAGCGAAGAGAUUAGAGAGAAAGAGGGUAAUGAGAGAGAAAAAAGAAGACCCAGAUAGAAUAGAACAGAACAGACAGAAAGAAGACAGACAUCCAGAUAGAAUGAUACAC
rnacentral:rRNA from 1 species